GAUGGACGCUAGCGGCAGGCCUAACACAUGCAAGUCGAGGGGUAGCAGGAUUAAGCUUGCUUAAUUGCUGACGACCGGCGCACGGUGCGUAACGCGUAUGCAACCUACCUUAUACUGGGGUAUAGCCCGGAGAAAUUCGGAUUAAUCCCCCAUAGUACUAAUGAAUCGCAUGGUUUAUUAGUUAAAGCAUUGCGGUAUAAGGUGGGCAUGCGUCCUAUUAGCUAGAUGGUGAGGUAACGGCUCACCAUGGCUACGAUAGGUAGGGGGCCUGAGGGGGUGGUCCCCCACACUGGUAAUGAGACACGGACCAGAGUCCUACGGGAGGCAGCAGUGAGGAAUAUUGGUGAAUGGGCGCAAGCCUGAACCAGCCAUGCCGCGUGCAGGAAGAAUGCCCUAUGGGUUGUAAACUGCUUUUAUUUGGGAAUAAACCUCUUUACGUGUAGAGAGCUGAAGGUACCAAAUGAAUAAGCACCGGCUAACUCCGUGCCAGCCGCCGCAGUAA
rnacentral:rRNA from 1 species